rnacentral:rRNA from 1 species
UACGGAGGGUGCAAGCGUUGUUCGGAUUUACUGGGCGUAAAGCGCGCGCAGGUGGGUUAACAAGUCGGAAGUGAAAUCUUGAGGCUCAACCUCGAGGCUGCUCCCGAAACUGUUCGCCUAGGGACUGGUAGAGGCUGGUAGAAUUCCCGGUGUAGCGGUGGAAUGCGUAGAGAUCGGGAAGAAUACCUGUGGCGAAGGCGGCCAGCUGGGCCAGAUCCGACACUGAGGCGCGAAAGCGUGGGGAGCAAACAGG